CUCUGGAGAAAAAAAGAAGUCAUUGGAUAUUAUUUUUCACUGCUUUUGAAAAUUUGUAAAAAAUUUCAGCAGGGGACCGACCACUUCCCCGCAGCCGCAGCCCCGCUGCCUCCUCCUCCGCGCCGCAGCCCUCUGUGCUCUGGGGUAAAAUGAAAGCACCAGCCUGGGGCUGGUCCCUUGUCUGCCCAGGGCCCCCCACCCCCAGUGGCUCCAUAGUCAGUAAAAGCCCCGCCUGAUCAAGGCUGGGCCUGCUGCUCUCCCGCGCUCCUCCAGGCCGUGGAAAGGCUUCCUCUGAGUCACUUUCUCCCUGAGUUCCAGGCUUGCGGGUCCCCCAGCGAUCCAGCACCCCUUCCCCUGCCCUGUCCCCAGUUGUUCAGGCCAAAAACCUAAGCGUCGUCUGGAAGUCCCAUUUGCGCCAGGGGCCGGGCUCGGGUCUGGUCUGGCCUCUCCGCCUCGGGCUGCAGAAGCCUGUGGUUUCCUUGCUUCCCUCCCCACCCACACAGAGCACCACAGUGGGCUUCUCAAGCCACAGCACCGACUUGCCCCGGCUGCCCCCUCCUUCUUCUCCAGGACCCUCCCCAACUUUGCUCUUCAAAUCACAGCCUCCCAGGUGUCCACCAUCACCAGAAUGAGUCUGCAGGUCUUAACAAAAAUAUCAGCGGUGAAAAAAGUACAGAAAACUGCGACUUCCUGUUUUCGCCACUGGAAGUUACCAGAAGAUCGUCUGCUCCCUGUGAGUCACAGAAAGAAAAUGUGCCACCCAAGAACCUGGCCAAAGCUAUGAAGGUGACUUUUCAGACACCUCUUCUGGAUCCGCAGACGCACAGGAUUCUAAGUCCUAGCAUAGCCAGCAAACUCGAGGCUCCUUUGGCUCAGGGUGGCACCCUGGAACUGGAAAACUCUCACCCGGGAUGGACACAGAAGGAGAACCAACAGCUUAUCAAGGCAGUGGAUGCCAAAACUACUCAUGGAAUUAUCCAGAAACCAGUGGAGUCUGACACCGACCCUCUGGAGGAUGCAGGCCCAACCUUUGGGAGUGGCAGCUCCGGCGAGCCUGGCACGGGCGCCCUGGCUGACCUGGACUGCUCAAGCUCUCCCCAGAGCCCAGGAAGUUCUGAAAACCAAAUGGUGUCUCCAGGAAAACUGUCUGGCAGCCCUGAGCAAGCCUUGGAGGAAAACGUUAGUUCUCAUUCCUUAGACAAGAGAAUGACACCCACCUCUGAGCCCCUAGAAGACCCUCCCAGGACAGAUUCCCAGCAUAGAGCGGAGCCUCCACACAGAGCCGAGGAGAAAUGCAGGCCUGGCGGGGUCUCUGCGCCCACAGCAGUGGCCACUUGGCCUCCUGGUGUGAUCCCUGAGGAAGCACGUGGAGGAGCACCUCCUGGGGGGUCUGCCUGGCGAGGCCCCAUGCCAGCAGGUGGCACGCAGACCCUUACCUGUGCGCACACCUCUGCUACUGAGAGCACAGCCCCGACCCUGAGUCCUCUGGAGGAAGCGGCUUCAGGUCAGAUGGCUAGCUCCUCGAGGACUGGACCCAUAAAACUUGAAUUUGAUUGCUCCGAUGGCGCCACCAGCAAAAGGGCACCCCCACCAAAAAGACGGGGAGAGAGAUCCGGCCUCAAGCCUCCCUUGAGGAGAGUGGCGGCAGGGCAGCAGCAGGCCCCGCGGUGUUGGAAGAGGUCGGUGGGAGUGGAGGAGGAGACGAGCCCCCGGAGCUGGCUUCUCGCGGCUCUUUCCACCUCGACUGGGAGAAGAUGAAGUACCCAGACUUCACCCCGUUCGGAGGUGGCACCAAGUCUGGUUGCAGAGAGGCCCAGCCCCCCGAAAGCCCCAAGACCAGGCCAGGGGGCUGAACCGCGGAGUCCCACGGAGGAGCCGGGCUCCCAUCUGAGCCAGCAGCUGCUUUCGGCCUCAGCAGAGGACACACCUGUGGUGCCGUUGGCAGCUGGGACCCCAGGAGCAGAGAGCAAGGAGAGAGCCUCGAACUCUGCUGGCACCUCGCUUCCCACAGGCUGUCCGGACACUGAGCCAGAACCCACCCAUCAGCAGGAGCUGAGAGAGAAGAGCUUCGGAGACCCCGCUGAGGUUCUAGGCACAGGGGCGGAGGCGGAUUACCUGGAGAAGUUUGGAGCUUCCUCGUUUAAGGAAUCGGCCUUGAGGAAGCAGUCCUUAUACCUCAAGUUCGACCUCUCCUGAAGGACAGUCCUCAAAGACCAGGGCCCGUGGCCACGGAGACCAGCAGCACGCACGGUGCGGAGGAGCCUCUGUCAGGAAGUCCGCGGGAAGCCGCGCUUGUGGAGUUGGAUUUCUUGGGAGCACUGGAUGCUCUGGUGCCAGACCCACCCCCAGGGGUGCCCGCGCCUGGGGGCCCGCGCCUGGGGGCCCACCACUGUCCACCGGGCCUAUAGUAGACCUGCCGCAGUACAGCCAGAAGGACCUGGACGCGGCGGUAAAGGUGACGCAGGAGGAGAACGAGGAGCUGAGGGGCAGGUGUGAGGAGCUGAGGGGCAGGUGCGAAGAGCUCCACAGGAAGCACCUAGAGCUGGGGAUGAUCAUGGACAGGUUCGAGGAGGUCACAUGCCAGGUCAUGGAGGAGGCUCAGAAACAGAAGGAACUUGCCAAAGCUGGCAUCCAGAAAGUUCUAAAAGAAAAAGACCAGCUAGCCGGGUACCAGCUGACUGCGGAUCUGAACUCCAUGGAGAAGUCCUUCUCUGACCUCUUCAAGCGCUUUGAGAAACAGGAGGUGAUUGAGGGCUACCGCAAGAACGAAGAGUCACUCAAGAAGUGUGUGGAGGAUUACCUGGCGAGGAUCACCCAGGCAGGCCAGAGGUACCAGGCCCUGAAGGCCCACGCCAAUGAGGAGCUGCAGCUGGCAAAGGAGGAGAUCGCCCAGGUCUGGAGCAAGGCCCAGGCGGAAGCGUUUGCCUGGCUAAUUGCUCUACAUCACACAUUGCCCUUGUGA